UACAGGGGUGGCAAGCGUUGUUCGGAAUUACUGGGCGUAAAGGGCGAGUAGGUGGCCAUCUAAGUCAGACGUGAAAUCCCCCCGGCUUAACCUGGGAACUGCGUCUGAUACUGGACGGCUUGAGUAUGGGAGAGGAACGUAGAAUUCCAGGUGUAGCGGUGAAAUGCGUAGAUAUCUGGAGGAAUACCGGUGGCGAAGGCGGCGUUCUGGACCAUUACUGACACUGAAUCGCGAAAGCUAGGGGAGCAAACGGG
rnacentral:rRNA from 1 species